CGCGUUUGCGAACUAUGGACCUCGUACAUCACCGCGUGCUCCAUAAACUGAACUGUAUGGCCGGCGGUGAGAUGCCUUUGUGUCCACUCGUGGAGUUAACCGCCCACCGACCUUCCUCCUUCUACACUACUACCUCUCGCAUGGACGACAUCAUCAUUGCGUACCACCUGCGUGAGUGGCUUCUUCUCGUUAUGCGCGUUGGGGACUAUCCCGUUUCCUAUCCUCUUUGUGCCUGACAAAGACAAAGACCAAAGGCGCCAGGAUCCAAGACAAAGACCAAAGACAAAGGCGUCCAAGGAGACCAACGUCCUAAGGGACAAACCCACCUGUGCUUCCGACAAUCAAGUCGACCUACGUUCAUGAGGAACAAACCCAUCUGUGCUUCCGACGAUCGAGCUUUGGGCGCGAUCCCCGAAACCAAAAGGGGGAAUGUUGAGGGUCUGACCUCAUGAGGAAAUUACUAUGCAGUGAUUUUCUCCAAAAUGACUGUGCUUAAAUUGCUCUGAAAAGCAAAUAAUCACAUCAGCGCCAAGAAACUUCAUUUCCCAUGAUGCUUUGCACACGGAAGCAUUGGGUGAUGUCACCGCCUAGUACCAGAAACACGUUCUGCGCAUGUGCGGGAAGCCGUGGAGCUUUUCCCGCGAACUAAGACCAUAAAUCUUCAGCAGAGACAAAGAAUCCUCGUUCUUUUGCCCAGGAUACCUGGCGGUAAGGACACGCUUAUCGAACGCUCCGAUUCCCUUGAGCACGCGGAAGCUCUAAGUGCCCAAGUUGAGGACACAGAACGGCGGAGGAAAGCAACAACUCCAUCCAGCUCUCUGAGACGCUCCCGUGGAGAAACACUCGUGAACGCCAAACAACGGAGAAAGCAUCAAACCGACGGACGACGCCGAAAGCUGCGGAGAAACACGGAGAACCGUCAAAUCAAAACAGUGAGGGACGCUUCACUGUUCUGGUGAUCAGAAACUCAUCUCUUUCUCUCAUUCUUUCCUUCUCCCGUUUCCUCUAUAGUCUCGAAUAAGCAAUAAACCGCGUCUAUUGCUUAAAAAGUAGCUUCGUGCUUUCCUCUUUCGUCCCAAACACGUCAGUCGGGUCAUUUUGAAAGAAUAAACUGCUUAUUGAUCAUUGUUUGGUAUCUUUAAAUGUUUUCUGCUUGGCCACGUGGUUAAACUAAAAGAUAUUAUUCG